GGCAAGAGUAGAAGCGUUCACUGCGCAGCCCUUCAUGCCGUGGAGCAUGAGGGCCAGGCCAGCCGGAAAUUGCUCUUGAA
rnacentral:ncRNA from 1 species